CCCUUAGAUGUCCUGGGCCGCACGCGCGCUACAAUGACUCUCUCAGAAAGUUUUUCCUGGUCUGGAAAGAUACAGGGUAAUCUUUGUAAUAGGAGUCGUGUUAGGGAUCGAUCUUUGCAAUUAUAGAUCUUGAACGAGGAAUGCCUAGUAAGUGCAGUUCAUCAGACUGUACUGAUUACGUCCCUGCCCUUUGUACACACCGCCCGUCGCACUUACCGAUGGUUUUUAAUGUGAAAAUUUCUGACUGCUUGAUGUCAUGCUUUUGUGUAUGGUAUUGGAGUUGAAUGUGAUUUGAAUUUUAAAAAUUAGAGGAAGGUGAAGUCGUAACA
rnacentral:rRNA from 1 species